AGGGAUAUAACUCAGCGGUACAGCGUCACCUUGACGUGGUGGAAGUCAUCAGUUCGAGCCUGAGUAUCCCUA
rnacentral:tRNA from 1 species